UUCUGUUUAAUAGUGCACUUCAUUUAUGCUACAGGAUGAGCAGGGUUGGGAAAACACAAUGGAAGGUCAUCCCGUCGGUUGGGAAAACUCGGGGAGUGCCAUCCUCACCCAGCAACGAGCUCUGCUACCAGGCUCAGGCACAGCCUGCCUUCUCUGGGCUUCGUUUUUUUGUUUUUUUGUUUUUUUUUUCUCCCUUUUGGGCUUUGCUCUUUCUCUGCAUUAAUCUUCAGCUGCUGAAGAGUCAGAGGUGGAGGCAGGAGUGGUCUGGCUCCUGGGGCUGGGUGUCAGAGGUGAGAGGGCAGGGCAAGCAGGCCAAGUGAGCUCCUUGAAAGCAUCCUUACCCAGGCAUUUAGAGAAAAUCAUUUUCAUCAUUGGAGUGGGAAGAGGACAAGAGAGGACAGCAAUCAGAGGCCAACGCUAAGUGCUUCUGACCCUCUCCCUCACAGCCGGUUACUAGCUGUUUGGACAGAUUUGCCCAUUCAGCCCCAGGACAACUGGGGGGGAUGGCAGGGGGUCUGCUGGCAAUAUCACCAGGUUUCUCUUGGAAACAUGGUCUGGCUGCUCCAAGAGCCCUAAAGGACACCAUCAUCACAGAUGAUGAUUCUGGAAUCUCUUCUACCCUCAAUAAAAUAAUCCCUCAAUGCCAAAUUUCCAUAAUUAACGAAAUCAUGAAACAAAACAGCAUGUUUCUUACCGAAACUUAAAGCUGGACUAGGAACAGUAGCUUUGAAAUAGUCUCCCUUUACCCUCCCUAGCAAAUAACAGGACCCAGAGCGUCCUUUCCACUGCUGUCUGUGCUGACUACGCGGACUCCAACUAAAGGAAUCCAUCGAAUUCUGUCCCGACUGUGCUUCCAUCCCCACCUUGGAAAGGUUCCUCUGCUGUGAGAAAAACAGUUUAGUGCAAACUCCUUUCCUAAAUGGGGUAACUGGUCCCAGAGCUGCUUUCUAUUCCCAGCACGCCAUCCACUUGCCUUGACGCUUUCUAAGGCUGGUGUGAUUUCUGGGAAAAUUCAACGAUUUGCCCCAUCUGCCCCAUUCUCUAAAAUGAAAAGUCUGAGUUGAAAGGGACACAUCCUAAGCUGUUGAGAUUUAUAGGGUAAGGCAAGAGCUCUUGAGACUCAGGGAAAGUGAGGAAAAUGGGUGUGUGGCUCUUUCACGUGGACUCUCUGAUAUUUAACUCGGUCGUAACUCUGAGGGAGCUUUUGCUCAUGCCGAUCCCAUUCAAAGGCUUCUCUCCAGUGUGAAUUCUCUGAUGGCGAACAAGAGCCGAGCUGUACCUGAAGGCUUUCCCACACUCACUACAUUCAUAGGGGUUCUCCCCGGUGUGGAUUCUUUGAUGCUGAAUAAGGCCUGAACUGUAGGUAAACUUUCCUCCACAUUCCAUACAUUCGUAGGGCUUCUCUCCAGUGUGGAUUCUCUGGUGCUGAUAGAGGUGUGAGCUCUGGCUGAAGGCUUUCCCACAUUCAUUACAUUCAUAGGGUUUUUCUCCAGUGUGGAUUCUCUGAUGGUGAAUAAGGGUUGAGCUCCUGCUGAAGGCCUUCCCACAUUCAUUGCAGGCGUAGGGUUUCUCACCAGUGUGGAUUCUCUGAUGGUGGGUGAGGGUGGAGCUCCAGCUGAAGGUCUUCCCACACUCAUUACAUUCAUAGGGUUUCUCCCCCGUGUGGAUCCUCCGAUGCAGAAUGAGGGCAGAGCUACAGCUGAAGGCCUUCCCACACUCAUUACAUUCA
rnacentral:lncRNA from 1 species